AUACGGAGGAUGCGAGCGUUAUCCGGAUUUAUUGGGUUCAAAGGGAGCGUAGGUGGGAUAUUAAGUCAGCUGUGAAAGUUUGGGGCUCAACCUUAAAAUUGCAGUUGAUACUGGUUUCCUUGAGUACGGUACAGGUGGGCGGAAUUCGUGGUGUAGCGGUGAAAUGCUUAGAUAUCACGAAGAACUCCGAUCGCGAAGGCAGCUCACCGGGCCGGAACUGACACUGAUGCUCGAAAGUGCGGGUAUCAAACAGGAUUAGAUACCCUGGUAGUCCACACAGUAAACGAUGAAUACUCGCUGUUUGCGAUAUACAGCAAGCGGCCAAGCGAAAGCAUUAAGUAUUCCACCUGGGGAGUACGCCGGCAACGGUGAAACUCAAAGGAAUUGACGGGG
rnacentral:rRNA from 1 species